CGGGCAUAAGAAGUGUGAGAUUUUGACGCAUUGAUUUUCUUUGGAAAAUAUUUAUUAAAAUGUUUGGGAAAGCCUCCAUACAUUGCAUCUGCUGUUUUCUCUGCGCACACUUCCAUUCGACCUUUGCUUUGCACAUAACCGCGUACAAUUCUCAGCUUUCAUCCAUCAUUAUCUAGGGCAGUUGAUGUUUCUCGUGAUCCUAUACUCCGUUUCCCGGCUCAAUUUUGGAGGUUCUGGUCCAGUUAAGUUUCUGCAAUUCCCUGUUGACGAACACCGUUUUUGAUUUUCUUUUUCUUUGCAGAAUUUGUAUUUUCUUUUCGUGUUCAAAUAUUUCUUGGGUGAUUUUUAAGCCUUCUUUGGUUCCCUGAGUUGAAUUUAACGAUUCCAGAAGUUCUUUCUCUUUGUGCCCGUGUGUGUGUGUGUGUGUGGGAAAAAUUGUGAUACAUACUAACAUUCCAAGAAGUAUUGCUUGCUUGGGAAUCUAGGUGGAUGUGGAAAGGAAUUUGUAAGCGCUUCAAGAGUGAAAAUGGAGACAUGGAGUUUUGAUUCCGUUACCUGCGGACUGUGAAACACUUGAUUAUUACAAAAAUUGCUUCCCAUGGCAAGAAAUGUAGUUGGACUGCGAUUUUAGGGGAAAUGGGUUCAUGGGUUUGAUUUGAUUUGUUAUAUUAUAUUGAAGAAGCAAUGGAGGGCAAUCUAUGUGCAGGUAAUAAUAACAUGAUUCCGGCUGCUGCUUCUUAUGGCGGUUUGGAGUUCCCAGGUUCAGUUCGAAUUAACCAUCAUCGUCAACACCCGUAUUCUCAUCAUCAACAACAGCAGACGCAGCCUCGUCAGAGUGCUACUACCCAUCCCCCCAUGCAUGAGGCGUUUCCCCUUGCAAUGGGAAGCAUGCAAGAUUUUGAGCAGCAGACUAUAACCAUGGCCAAUAAUAAGCGGGGGGAGAGAGAGAGAGGGAAACAUUUGAUGAGUGAUGAUGAGGAAUUGAGCUUUGUUGAAGAUGCCGUUACAGAUGGUCACAAUGAAGUGAGUAGAUCAAAGAAGGGGCUGGGAUCCCCCUGGCACCGUGUAAAAUGGACUGACAAGAUGGUAAGACUUUUGGUUACUGCUGUUUCUUACAUAGGUGAGGAUGCUGCCUCUGAUUUCGGUGUUGGGGGGAGAAGGAAAUGUGUAGUUCUACAGAAAAAGGGUAAAUGGAAAUCGAUCUCCAAGGUCAUGGCUGAAAGGGAAUUUUUUGUUUCCCCUCAGCAGUGUGAGGAUAAAUUCAACGAUCUUAAUAAAAGGUACAAGAGACUUAAUGAUGUUCUUGGGAGGGGCACAUCUUGCCAAGUUGUUGAGAACCCAGCACUUUUGGGUUUGAUGGAUCACUUAUCUGAGAAAGAAAAAGAUGAAGUCAGGAAAAUUUUAAGCUCCAAGCAUCUGUUUUAUGAAGAGAUGUGCUCUUAUCAUAAUGGGAACAGAUUGCAUCUGCCCCCUGAUCCAGCAUUGCAGCGUUCACUGCAGUUGGCCCUUAGAAGUAGAGAUGAUCAUGAGAACAAUGAUGUAAAGAGGCACCUGCAAGAGGAUUUCGAUGAUGAUAAUCAGGAUGCAGAAAUGGAUGAUUUUGAUGAGGUUGAGGAAAAUCAUGCUUUGCGAGGGGAUAAUGGAGGACCAUGUGGAGUACCCUUGGGCUCUACGAAGAGGAUGAAACAAAGCCAGAGUCAUGAAUAUGUGAGUUUUGAAAAUCCCUCUAAUUCUCAGGACUGUAUUGGAAGCUCCCAAUCUCAUCUUCAUAUUUCCCAUGCCGAUAUGAAUAAACCAUUCUCUGAAGGCGCACAAGCAACUUGGUUACAGAAUCUUAGAGUAUACUCACUUCAGUUAGAAGAACAAAGGCUUCAAAUUCAAGCAGAGAUGUUGGACUUGGAGAAACAGCGAUCUGAGUGGCAGAGAUUUAGCAGGAAGUAUGACUGUGACCUGGAUAAGCUGAGAAUGGAAAAUGCGAGGAUAAAGAUUGAAAACGAGAACAUGGAUUUAGAACUGAAGCAAAAGGAGUUGGGUGCUGAUAGCUUUAAAAUGAGCGCAUGGCCUUAGAGCUCAUGUGAAAGGAAGCAGGGGCUGAUUAUAAUAAAAAAGAAGCUGUUGGCUUGCAUGGUUUGCCAAAAAUAUCAGGACUUGCAUGCAGCAAAACUUUUUUCUGCCUCGAGCUCCGCAAAGUUUUUGUCUGCUGGGAGCAUUAGACACUUGUUUUUCUAAGAAUGAUGCAGGAAUCCUCGCAUAUUUGACACCGUAUCCGGGCGCCGACACGGCGCGUCGCUUCGGGGUGACGACCUAGCCCACCCUCGCCCACUUUUCGCUACACCCGGGUGGUUCAAGUGCAACGCGUCGCUCGUAGGGGACGCCCCAACAAAUAUUCGGUAAGGAUUCAUAUCAUAGUGAUCUGACAAAUUUUACGUUGGCUGUCAGCUACCUAACGCAAUCCUCCUCCUUAACCCGGGCUUGGGACUGGCUGUGUGUGAAAAAAUUAGGACAUUUAAGUGCAUCACAGGCGGAGUUGUUAUCAUCAAAACUAUAAUUGGUGAAAUUUUGGGAGUUGGGGCCAACGAUAGAGUUAAAGCAAGUUGGUCUAAAAUUAAAAAGAAAAUAUUUUUAUGUAACAGCUGACAGACCAACUAUGUUAUAUGAAUCAAAAUGUUGGGCAACUAAAACAAAAUAUCCAAAAUAUAAUUGUAGGUGAUAUAAGAAUGUUAAGAUGGAUGAGCUGUUUAAAAGAUUUGAGUAAUGAGAGUACAUCCAUUAUUAGCAGUUGCACUUCUAGAAGAAGAUAUUUAGGAUGGUUUGAGCAUUUGCAACAGAGACUGAGUAGCAGUUCAGUGAGAGACUGAUUUAAAAAUGACAUUAGAGGAUGUAGGAGGGGGAGAGGAGACUUAAAUAAUUUGAACUGAGCUACUAAGAAAGGGUUUGACAGCAACUCCCAACUUUUUCUUCGAGGACAUUGUUCUAGGCUGUGCAUGACAGUGGAAAAGGACUGAUGUAGCAAACUCCGCCUAGUCAGUGGUGUUGUUUCUUAAUGUUUAGCCUCAAUGAGUCAUGAUCUUCUGGUGCGAAUCAAUCUUUGUCUGACUUAAUUGUAUGCUAGCAAUAAGCAUUGGGCUUCUUGGGUCGAGUAGAAUUUUCUCAUAGGUAUUUUAGUAGUCACCUGCUGAAGCUUCAGUACUGUACAUUUUUUUUGUUGUGUUUUUAGACAGGUAACGGUGGCCCUUGAGGGGGAGCAAGAGGACUGAUCCUAUGACUUUUCACUCUUCAUGAAGGCUUUGAUCACUUGUCUGCCUUUUGAAUGUUCAAUAACUCUAGCUAUGACUUGGCUUUAUAUUUUUCUCUUAAAUGGCCUGUUUUACUUUGCCUCAAUAUUUGGCCAAAGUUGCUUGUUUGCUUGACAGCAGAAAAACUAUGAGAUGAUAAUCCACACCAUAGCCAUGUGGUAAACAUGAGUAGUUAGCUCAAGGCUUUGUUGAGCUGAGUAGAAUUAUCUCCUUAGGGUGUGUUUGGAAUGCUUUGGUUUGUAUUGUUUCCAUUUCCAUUUUAAUGUGUUGUAUUUGUUCUCUAUUUCAAAGAAAUAUUUUUAUGAUACUUGUGAAAAUUUACCGAAACAUAUUUCCAUAUUUUGGUAAAUCUGAACACGUGCUCCAAAUUGUAUUGUUCAGAUUUUUUAUUUUUUAUUUAUUUAUUUAUUUUUAUUUUUUUAUUUUUUUUAUUUUUUAAGAUUUUUUUUAAGUAGAUGUAGAAGCAAAAACAGAAGUGAAAAAACCAUUACCAAACACUCCUUUAGGUGCUUGGGGAGUCCCUUUUAAGCUUCAUCUACUCUAUAUAUUGCUUGUGGCUUUAAUAUUACAUGCUUUCUCAAUUCUCAGCCACAAUUGUUUAGUAUCUUCUUGCAGUACACAGACUCUGUAGAUGAUAAUGUGCACCAUUGACAUUUAUUAGCAGUUGUCCAACUCCUUGUCCUCUGGUAGUUAGCACAAGGCUCUGUUCUGUUUAAUUCCUCUUUGACCCAUAGAUGUUCUCAUUUCUUUUACACCGCAUCCAUUUGUUACCUACUUUCUCAAUGUUCCGCCACAAGUAUUUGAUGUAACCUGCCUGAUAGAAAUGCUUUAUUUGUCCCCCCAAUACAAUUUUCUCACCCCCACCCCCCAAAAUUUCAAUUUCAAAACAUUAUCUGCUUUUUAUCUACUGACCUUCAAGUCACAAAAUCUAUAUUAGGUUAUAUAUCAGCAGAGGAGCGUCGUAUAGGAUGGAAGGCGGAGGAGUCUCAAUCUCUGAAGAUCAUCAAAACUUCAACUUUUAUGAGCAAUAAGAAUUUGCUUGUGUUGAUUUUAUUAGUUUUGAAAUUAAAUAAUGUUAAGAAUGGUGGAUCAGGAUUGUUAUUUUUGACAUCAGUAACAUAAAUUACAGUUUACAGGGCGAAGAUACCUUGCAUGUGAACUUGUGAUGUGAAAACCCAUUUUGAAAUGGAGGCUAAACACAAAUUUAUAUAUGAUUCUGAAGCGCCAUUUUCUUGUCCAGAAA